rnacentral:lncRNA from 1 species
AGGUGUCAUGUGCUCUCCUCAUUGUACUCUGCCUCUUUCUGGCAGGGGCAGGGUGGGGGGCAGAUUUCUGCUUUCAGCAAUACCACUGUAUCACUGUACAUGUUACUCAGAUGGACCAGUUCAAAGGAGUUCCAUAUGAUGAUAAUUGCUGGUAUCUUCAGGUAGGAUGAAGCUGAAGGAAUUUAAUUCUUUCUAGGGCUAUAAUGUUAAGCCUAGUCUUUACAAAAUUGCUGCCUAUAAUAGUUCUCCAACAACAAAUUGAAAGAAGAGGAACAGUUAUCACACAUCAGGUGGGUUUGUAGCUCCUGCCACAACUCAGUCUGACUUUCUCUUCUACCCUGUUUCCAAAGUAAACCUGUCAGCUUUGCCUCUCUUCAUUUCUCCCAUUGUUAACCCUCCUCCCAGACCUGCCCCAAUAAUGCAGGAGAAGUUUCAGGGUUAAUAUUUUUUCCUUCUUUCUUUUGUAGUAACCAGAAUUCUGGAGUCUCUCCAAGUCUCUUGACAGGCUAAUAUUGUGUCUUAGUCCUAUUUCACCCACCUUUCCAAUCAACUGUUCUCUUGAUGCUUUUGUCCCAGAUGGUAGAGAAGCUGAGAUAUACAGUCUACCUGUACUCCACCAUCUUGAUUUCCCUGCCUUUCAUUUCUUUUUCUUGCCUAAUUGCUUGGGAUAAAACUGCCAGUACACUAUUGAAUAGAAGUGGUGAAAGUGGGCAUUCUUGUUUGUUCCUGACCAGAGUGGGAAAGGUUUCAUCUUUUACCAGUACGUAUAAUGGGCUUUGAAGCUCUCUCUAGCUUUUUCUCCACUGAUAACUUUAGUGUGCCUUUUGCUCAACUCCCAACCCCAGGCUUGCUCACAAAACCUGGCUAGUCUAACAAGCCUGAUUUUUUUCCCUUUUCAUUACAUGCUCUUGUUUAUUUUUGUCUGUGCACCCAUUGCUUGUAAAGUCAAAGAGAAUAUCCCAUUUCCUCCAACAAUCUAGCUCAUAUACUUCCUCAGGAUAAAACUCCCAGCAUAUUGCAGCACUGCCUCCCCAAUGGACAGAAGUGGACACAUACACAUGAGGACACACUUAGCAUGUGUGUAACAUUCUGUAUCAUUUGAUUCCUUUGCUACCCAUUUCCUGGAUACUUGAAGCUAAUUUAUAUUUUAUUUCAGCUAAUCCAGAUCAUUUCAAUUUGUAAAUUUUCUUUCCUCAUUUUUUUUAUCUUUGUCUUGGCUGCGCCUACUACACUGUAAGUUUCUCCAGAGCUAGGACCAGGAACCCUGUAUUUUAAUUUCACCACCCGACAGGACUCAAUUCAAAGGCUUACAGAAACAGAAAGGCUUAAUAAAAGUUGAUUGACUUCAUUCACUUUUUGUUCUCCCAGGAAUAUUGCUUCUUUGUGAGCCACAGUGAAAAUCAGAGGACUACCUAGAUGCCACUUAGACCUCCAUCAGUGGCCCAUGUCCAUUUCCAAACCAUUUCUUUUCUUUUUCCUGUGUUGGCUAAGUUUCAGGAGGGAGAUAAUUGGCUCCAUCAAUUUUUAUAGCUUAAUGAAAGUCUCAGCCAUGUUUACCUGCUUUCCUUCCAGGGUAAAUGCACCACAAGUCAAGUCAAAGUAAUUCCCACAGCCCUUGUUUAGAAAAUGUAUGAUUUUUAUAUUGUCCCCAUUAAAACAAUAUGGUCCACUAGCUAUAACCUCAAACAUAACCUUCUUUAAAAAUAAGUGCCUCUCAGUGUAAAAUAUUAAUUCUUAAGGCCAGGCCCAUUCUGGGGUUUGAGGGUGUGUAACAAAAGUCCUGGGUUACUAAGUGUAAUGCCUAAUAUUGCUUUUUUCCUGUGGCAUUUGCUUGUUUUUUGUUCUUUACUGCAACUAAAAUAUUGAAAUCUCCCUGUUUCACCCCACUAACCAUAGCAAAUACCAUAGAGUGAAAAUCCUUUAUAAAAAGCAAACCACAAAUAACAGUGUAGGGUUUGGUCUUGCUUCCUUAACCACUAAAAAGGAAGGCCACAUACCAAAUGGUCUUUAUCAGGCAUUUGCUGAGCACAUGGCCUGUUUAAAGUACAGGGUUAUGGGUAAGCAAAUACAUAGUUGCUGCUGUAGGGGAAUUUAUAGUUUUACUGGGGUGAUAAAACUAAUGUACUUCAGAGAACUACUAAGUCAGAGGUAGUGGGUGAUAAUUGCUAAAACAAGGGUAGAAGAGCAUAUGGUUGGUGUGAAUUGGAGUCAAGGAAGGCAUCUGAGAGAAGAUUGACUUGGAAAAGAAUUUGAUGGACAGAGGAGUGAAAGGGAUAUGCAGAAUCUAGGUUGUCAAUAUAAUGAGGCCAGACUGAUAGUGUUGAAGAUCCAUACAAGGAACCAUUUGGAUAUAAUGUUAAAGUAGGAUAAGUGUAGGGUGUGUCUUGAAUGGAUGGAAUCACAUGCUGUGUGUGGUGGCACACUCUCGUAAUCCCAGCAGCUCCAGAGGCUGAGAUAGGAAGAUCACAAGUUCAAAGCCAGCCUCAGCAACUUAAUGAGGGCUUAAGCAAUUUAGCAAGACCCUUUCUCUAAAUAAAAUAUAAAAAGGGACUAGUGAUGUGGCUCAGUGAUUAAGCACCCUUGGGUUAAAUCCUUGAUGCCCUCCAAAAGAAGCACAGAACAUUAGAGAUAGAAAGGCAUUACUAAUAGUUCAGUGUCUAGUUUUUAUUAAAAUUUUAAUCCAUGGAAUUCUUUCUUCAAAUUGAAUCACAUGUGAAGAAGAUCAAAGCAGACAAAAGUGAGAAUAUUUUUAAAUAUAGUUUGAGAUCAAAAUCAUCUCAAUUCCUACAUUUUAAAAGUGAGUAAACCAAGACCAGGAGUAGAAAAUUAUCUCUAAGUCAUUAAAUCUGGUGGAUACUUUAUCCCCAUCCUGCCUAUUUUCUGAGCAGCAUGCUGCAUUGUUGACUACUUUCUUUUGCUCAACAUGUUCUCUUCCUAUAUCUUAGAUGAUACAACCCUUUAGAUUUUUUUCUCUGGCCUUUCCAUUAAUGUCAUUUGGGUGUUGAUUCUCUUAUGCCUAGACUUUAAAUGCUGCAUUUCUCAGGACUUGAGCCACAGGCCUUUUUACUUGCCUUACAUUGUAAGGAAUUCAAAUAAAAUUUCUAUAUGAUGCUAAUUCUCAAAUUAUAUUUCCAUCUCAAGCCUAUUACUGAUUCUAUUGACAAUGUAUCUUUAUCUGGAUAUACAACAUGUGCCACAUACUCAAAUUACCAAAACUUAUCUCUUUCCUUUGUUCCUUCCUCCAGCCCUUCAUGAUCACCCUUUUUCUAUGUCCUUUCUUAGUGAAUGUCAUCACCCAGUUUCCUCUGCCCUAAAUCAAGGGACUUCUAGUUCUCAAUACCUUUUUUGUCUUCUCCCACAUUCAAUCACCAUGUCCUGUUCAUGUUACCUCCUAAAUAUCCCUUGAAUCUCUCCAUUCUUCUUUAUUUCUACUGCUGCUCCAGGCACUACCUUUUCUCUGUUAUCGACUGCAAUAACCUCCUGAUUUGUCUCACUGCUUCCAUUCUUUCCUUCUACACAAACUAGUUUUCUACAUUGCAGCCACAGUGAUUUCUUUUAGUAUUUUAGUUGUCAAUGGAUCUUUAUUGUAUUUAUUUAUAUGUGGUGCUGAGGAUUGAACACAGUGCCUCACAUAUGCUAGUCAAGUGCUCUACCACUGAGUCACAAACCAGCCCCAAAAGUGAUUUUUUAAAAAUACUUAUUUUUUAGUUUUAGGUAGACAAAAUAUCUUUAUUUGAUUUUUAUGUGGUGCUGAGGAUAAAACCCAGUGCCCCAUGCAUGGUAGGCGAGUACUCUAUUACUGAGCCACAACCCAGCCUCUGUCAGUGAUUUUUAAGGGAUCAAUUUUGAUCAUAUCCUUUCACUGCUCGAAAGCCUUCAACAACUCCCCAUUGUCAAAGGAUAAUGUCUAAAUAUAUUUUUAUAACUUUAUUUUUUUAAUUAUGUGAUGCUGAGGAUUGAACCCAGUGCCUCACAUGUGCUAGGCAAAUGCUCUACCACUGAGCCACAAUGCCAACAUCUAAAUAUCUUAACAUGUCUAAGAAAACCACUCAUAACUUGACAUCUUUCUGUUUAUCAGCCCCCAUUUUUCUAAACCACCUCUCCUUUGUAUUGAUACUCCAAAUGUAAUGAAAUUGGUUCAGUUCCCAAAAUGUGCCACACUUGCAGCCUGGAUACUGCCAGGAUUGCUCAUCCCACUGGGUCUCAGCUGAAAUUUUACCACCUGUGAGAAGACUUUCUAACUCCAUUCUCACUUACAAAUCCAGGAUAAAUGCCUCUCUAUCAUAUAUUCACAGUCACUUGAGAGGUUAACCUCUUGUAGAAUGCAUCAUAAUUAUUACAAUUGCUGCUUUAAUUGUAUGUCUCCCUAAGUUGUUCUUAAGCUCAGUGGGGACUGGGUCCAUAUUAGCUACCACUGAAGUCUUAGUGUGUAACAAGGUGCCUCAAAUAUAGUACAUGUAGUAUUUAGAAUUGUAUAUAUUUGUGAAGCAAAAUUAAUAUUUUAUAUAUAUAUAAAAUAUGUAAUGAUUAAAACAAUCGAAUUAACAUCUUUUAACAUAUCUUCAAAUACUUAUUUUGUGAUAAGAACAUUUGAAAUUUACUUUCAUAGCAAUUUUUAAAUAUAUCAUCCAUUAUUAUCUGCAGUCAACAUACUAUGUGAUAAAUCUCAAAAAAUUAAUUCUUCCUACCUAACUGAAACUUUGAACCUUUUGACCAAUUUCUUUGCAUUCCUCCUUCUCCCCAGCCUCUGAUAACCAACAUUCU